UAGGGAAUCUUCCGCAAUGGACGAAAGUCUGACGGAGCAACGCCGCGUGAGUGAUGAAGGUUUUCGGAUCGUAAAACUCUGUUGUUAGGGAAGAACAAGUAUCGGAGUAACUGCCGGUACCUUGACGGUACGUAACCAGAAAGCCACGGCUAACUACGUGCCAGCAGCCGCGGUAAUACGUAGGUGGCAAGCGUUGUCCGGAAUUAUUGGGCGUAAAGCGCGCGCAGGUGGUUCCUUAAGUCUGAUGUGAAAGCCCACGGCUCAACCGUGGAGGGUCAUUGGAAACUGGGGAACUUGAGUGCAGAAGAGGAAAGUGGAAUUCCAAGUGUAGCGGUGAAAUGCGUAGAGAUUUGGAGGAACACCAGUGGCGAAGGCGACUUUCUGGUCUGUAACUGACACUGAGGCGCGAAAGCGUGGGGAGCGAACAGG
rnacentral:rRNA from 1 species